rnacentral:rRNA from 1 species
UACGUAGGGUGCGAGCGUUGUCCGGAAUUACUGGGCGUAAAGAGCUCGUAGGUGGUUUGUCGCGUUGUCCGUGAAAACUCACAACUCAAUUGUGGGCGUGCGGGCGAUACGGGCAGACUGGAGUACUGCAGGGGGAGACUGGAAUUCCUGGUGUAGCGGUGGAAUGCGCAGAUAUCAGGAGGAACACCGGUGGCGAAGGCGGUCUGCUGGGCAGUUGCUGACACUGAGGCGCGACAGCGUGGGGAGCAAACAGG